CAAAAGAUCUGGAAUUUACUACAUUUUUGACACUUUAGUUCUUGUCUCCAGCAAAUAUAAACACUCAUGAUAUAAUGCAUAGUGUAACUUAACACAUUAUAAUUGUAAUUGAUCAGCUUAACAAAUGUUUAAAAGUGGAAAAAAAAUAUUAAACAACAGAUACUCAACUAUUUACUAAGAAAUUAGCUUAGUGUCUCUGCAUCUAGCAUGUUAACAUUUAAAACGACACGUUUUAAAAACAUGCACUUUGAUUGGUCAAAAAUGUUAGCAAAUCUAUGAAUAAAUAAAUUCAGAAUUAAAUUUAUGAAAUUUUUUUGUUAGAAUGUUUGAGGCAAACAGAAGAUGCAUGGAAUCCCCCCUGAACAUGGAGACAGUACAGUUACAUGCAUUAUCAAAGCUGGAUUAUUAGGUGCUACAUUUAAACUCAACCAUAAAUAUUUGCUUAUUUUUAAGGUAUACAGAGAUCCCUUGAAGAAAUAAAGAACAGCUUUUAAUUAGAGAAUUAUCUUUUAAUACAGUUACAAAGCUGUCAAACCAUGAUGAGUAAAAAAGAUGCAAGGAAAUUUGUUUACAGCCUUCCAGAUUCAGCAAAUAAUGCUAGAGAAUGAGUUAAUGCAAGACCUAAUGAUGGAAAUGUACCAGGUUCCAUGGCUAGGAGAAUGUCAGAAAGCCUCAUCAUUAGUGUG